rnacentral:rRNA from 1 species
UGGGGAAUAUUGCACAAUGGGCGCAAGCCUGAUGCAGCCAUGCCGCGUGUGUGAAGAAGGCCUUCGGGUUGUAAAGCACUUUCAGCGAGGAGGAAGGGUAGUGUGUUAAUAGCACAUUGCAUUGACGUUACUCGCAGAAGAAGCACCGGCUAACUCCGUGCCAGCAGCCGCGGUAAUACGGAGGGUGCAAGCGUUAAUCGGAAUUCCUGGGCGUAAAGCGCACGCAGGCGGUUUGUUAAGUCAGAUGUGAAAUCCCCGCGCUUAACGUGGGAACUGCAUUUGAAACUGGCAAGCUAGAGUCUUGUAGAGGGGGGUAGAAUUCCAGGUGUAGCGGUGAAAUGCGUAGAGAUCUGGAGGAAUACCGGUGGCGAAGGCGGCCCCCUGGACAAAGACUGACGCUCAGGUGCGAAAGCGUGGGGAGCAAACA